GGGAAGAGAGUAGAAACUAGAAAAGAUGAGUGCAACUUUGAAACGAGACUGAUUGAAAAAGUCAUAAAGGUCAAUUCUGAGUUUUUAAAAUCAUUUUAUGUUCAUUGGUUCUUUGUCUAAUAACCUAUUUGGGUUGAGAAGAUUCUGCAGCAGAUAUUAAUUAAUUUGGUAAUUAUAAGUUAUAAUCAGCAGAAUCUAAAACUUUUGACUUCUUUCGAUUGCCAUAUCUCGGUCAUGUUCUUUAUUUAAUUCUUCCAGGUGGUUUAUUUUUCUUCUUCUGUCAUGGUAUGAUUUACCAUGACCUA
rnacentral:lncRNA from 1 species